GAUGAACGCUGGCGGCGUGCCUAAUACAUGCAAGUCGAGCGAACAGACGAGGAGCUUGCUCCUCUGACGUUAGCGGCGGACGGGUGAGUAACACGUGGAUAACCUACCUAUAAGACUGGGAUAACUUCGGGAAACCGGAGCUAAUACCGGAUAAUAUAUUGAACCGCAUGGUUCAAUAGUGAAAGACGGUUUUGCUGUCACUUAUAGAUGGAUCCGCGCCGCAUUAGCUAGUUGGUAAGGUAACGGCUUACCAAGGCAACGAUGCGUAGCCGACCUGAGAGGGUGAUCGGCCACACUGGAACUGAGACACGCUCCAGACUCCUACGGGAGGCAGCAGUAGGGACUCUUCCGCAACGGGCGAAAGCCUGACGGAGCAACGCCGCGCGAGUGAUGAAGGUCUUCGGAUCGUAAACCUCUGUUAUUAGGGAAGGCCAAAUGUGUAAGUAACUAUGCACUUCUUGACGGUACCUAAUCAGAAAGCCACGGCUAACUACGUG
rnacentral:rRNA from 1 species